UACGUAGGGUGCGAGCGUUAAUCGGAAUUACUGGGCGUAAAGCGUGCGCAGGCUGUUCUGUAAGUCAGAUGUGAAAUCCCCGAGCUCAACUUGGGAACUGCGUUUGAAACUACAGGACUAGAAUAUGUCAGAGGGGGGUAGAAUUCCACCGUGUAGCAGUGAAAUGCGUAGAGAUGUGGAGGAAUACCAAUGGCGAAGGCAGCCCCCUGGGAUAAUAUUGACGCUCAUGC
rnacentral:rRNA from 1 species